AACGAACGCUGGCGGCAUGCCUAACACAUGCAAGUCGAACGAGACCUUCGGGUCUAGUGGCGCACGGGUGCGUAACGCGUGGGAACCUGCCCUUAGGUUCGGAAUAACUCCCCGAAAGGGGUGCUAAUACCGGAUAAUGUCUUCGGACCAAAGAUUUAUCGCCUUUGGAUGGGCCCGCGUUGGAUUAGCUAGUUGGUAGGGUAAAAGCCUACCAAGGCGACGUUCCAUAGCUGGUCUGAGAGGAUGAUACGCCACACUGGGACUGAGACACGGCCCAGACUCCUACGGGAAGCAGCAGUGGGGAAUAUAGGACGAUGGGCGCAGGCCUGAUACAGCAAUGCCGCGUGAGUGAUGAAGGCCUUAGGGUUGUAAAGCUCUUUUACCCGGGAUGAUAAUGACAGUACCGGGAGAAUAAGCUCCGGCUAACUCCGUG
rnacentral:rRNA from 1 species